rnacentral:rRNA from 1 species
AAUCAACGCUGGCGGCGUGCCUCAGACGUGCAAGUCGAACGAUUAAGACUUCCUUCGGGAAGUGCAUAAAGUGGCGCACGGGUGAGUAACACGUAAGUAAUCUACCCUCGAGUGGGGAAUAACAGUCGGAAACGACUGCUAAUACCGCAUAAUGCAGCGGCACCGCAAGGUGACAGUUGUUAAAGGAGCAAUCCGCUUGAGGAGGAGCUUGCGGCAGAUUAGCUAGUUGGUAAGGUAACGGCUUACCAAGGCUACGAUCUGUAUCCGGUCUAAGAGGACGGUCGGACACACUGACACUGAAUAACGGGUCAGACUCCUACGGGAGGCAGCAGUCGGGAAUUUUGGGCAAUGGGCGAAAGCCUGACCCAGCAACGCCGCGUGAAGGAUGAAGUAUUUCGGUAUGUAAACCUCGAAAGAAUAGGAAGAAUAAAUGACGGUACUAUUUAUAAGCUCCGGCUAACUACGUGCCAGCCGCCGCGGUAAAAC